GAUGAACGCUGGCGGCGUGCCUAAUACAUGCAAGUCGAGCGAACAGAUGAGGAGCUUGCUCCUCUGACGUUAGCGGCGGACGGGUGAGUAACACGUGGAUAACCUACCUAUAAGACUGGGAUAACUUCGGGAAACCGGAGCUAAUACCGGAUAAUAUAUUGAACCGCAUGGUUCAAUAGUGAAAGACGGUUUUGCUGUCACUUAUAGAUGGAUCCGCGCCGCAUUAGCUAGUUGGUAAGGUAACGGCUUACCAAGGCAACGAUGCGUAGCCGACCUGAGAGGGUGAUCGGCCACACUGGAACUGAGACACGGUCCAGACUCCUACGGGAGGCAGCAGUAGGGAAUCUUCCGCAAUGGGCGAAACCCUGACGGAGCAACGCCGCGUGAGUGAUGAAGGUCUUCGGUUCGUAAAACUCUGUUAUUAGGGAAGAACAAAUGUGUAAGUAACUAUGCACGUCUUGACGGUACCUAAUCAGAAAGCCACGGCUAACUACGUG
rnacentral:rRNA from 1 species